GCCGGGAAGGCGGGCCAGUCGAAGAAGGCCGGGAGCGGUUCGCUUCUUUCUGCCGGAGCAGGCGAGGACGGGGCGGCCGGGGGGCCGAGGCGACGCCGGUGGGUCUCGGUUGCUUAGGCCGUUUUACGGGAGCCCCCGAAUACGCAUGCGCUUCGGCUCACGAGGAGCGGGCGCUCGGUUUGCGUCGGGCGCAUGCGCAGUGCAUGAUCGUUCCCCUGAGACGCCGGCCCUUCCCCCGCUGAACGAGCUGCUAAUGCGGGAGGCUGGAGGCAGCAGUGGGGAUGUGCUUGCGGCCGGGUCAGAGGAAUCGACGCGAUGCAUCACGUUCUUUGGAUUGGCCCCGCAGUGUUUGUGACAAAGAGCAACAGAUUGCUUUGCAUGUCACAAAAUAUUUGACGGCAGUGAUAACGAGAGAGACUUCUGCAGCCCUGUGCAGCAAUGGCCUCUCUGCUGCUGAGGAAUGUCGUCUUGAGUUCGGCCCAUUUCCUGAACCGUAGUGCGGCCUCUCGCUCGUUCUUCUCCUGGCUGCCUGGGCGUUUGCAGACUGUCAGUCCAUGGGGAGCCUGUAUUACUCCCAAGCUGCAAGCCACGGCUCUGCUGCCAUUUCUCAUGAGAUGCCCUCUUCCCAGUCUGCAGCCUGUUGCAGGCCUGAAGAGCAAAGUGGUCCUCAGAAAGCGCUGCAAAGAUUGCUUUUUUGUCCGCAGACGUGGGCGUUUGUAUGUGUACUGUAAAACUCACCCAAGACACAAGCAGAGGAAGAUGUAGCUCUUCAACCUGAUGAGAGAGAGUCACAAGUGUGGCUGGCGAAGACAGCCACCGAACUGAUCCUGUCUGCAAAAAGCUGAUGAUUUGCACAAAGUGCAGCUGUUAGAAAUAAGGAGUUAUUCAGGUUGGAGGCUCUACCUAGUUUUAGCAACCACUUCUGGCAUAUACUGUGCCAGCCAUUAUAGACUUAAAAGGGGGGAAAAAUGCUGCUUUUUUAACAAAUUAUGUUCUGUCAUUAUUACAUUUGAUCUCUUUACAAUGAAUAUUUUUGUCCAAUGACACCAAUAAUAUUUUCAAUCUGAAUAUAAUAGUUGAUUUUGGGAGGAUUUUUAGAUAAUGUCAAGAUGGGUAGCCAUGUUAAUCUGUUUGUAGCAGUAGAAAAGAGCAAGAGUCCAGUAGCAGCUUAAAAACUGACAAAAUUUGUGAGUCGCUGCUCACUUUUUCAUGGACCUGAAGAACUGACCAGUGACUCACAGAAGCUCCUCCCCUUAGCCUUUAAGGUGCUACUGGAUGCUGCUUUUUUACUGUUUUGGACAAUGUGUAUAAGAGCACAGUGUCAAAACAAAGAAUGUGGUCCAGCAAAAGUUAAGUGCUCAUAGGUUCCACUGAAAAUAUGGUAGUUAAGCAUGUGAAAUAAAUGUUGUUGAAAUAAAUGAUUCCUGCAUUGUUCUCAGAA